UCGAGUGAUCCUGCGCCGAAAAUGUAACGGGGCUAAACACAUUACCGAAAUCGUGGAUGUACCUUAGGGUACAUGGUAGGAGAGCGUUCUAAGGACGGCGAAGCUAGACCGUAAGGACUGGUGGAGUGCUUAGAAGUGAGAAUGCCGGUAUGAGUAGCGAAAGAUCAGUGAGAAUCUGGUCCACCGUAUGACUAAGGUUUCCUGGGGAAGGCUCGUCCUCCCAGGGUUAGUCGGGACCUAAGCCGAGGCCGAGAGGCGUAGGCGAUGGAUAACAGGUUGAGAUUCCUGUACUGGUUAAACUUGUUUGAACAAUGGAGGGACGCAGGAGGCUAUCGAUGCGUACUGUUGGAUAUGUACGUUCAAGCAACAAGUCUGUAGAUGAGUCAAAUGCUUAUCUACUUAAGGACAAGUUGUGAUGAGGAGCGAAAUUUAGUAGCGAAGUGAGAGACGUCACACUGCCAAGAAAAGCUUCUAGUUAGAGUUUAAUCACCCGUACCGCAAACCGACACAGGUAGUCGAGGCGAGUAGCCUAAGGUGAGCGAGAGAACUCUCGUUAAGGAACUCGGCAAAAUGACCCCGUAACUUCGGGAGAAGGGGUGCUGAGCGCAAGCUCAGCCGCAGUGAAUAGGCCCAGGCGACUGUUUAUCAAAAACACAGGUUUCUGCAAAAUCGUAAGAUGAAGUAUAGGGGCUGACGCCUGCCCGGUGCUGGAAGGUUAAGAGGAUGGGUUAGCGUAAGCGAAGCUCAGAAUUGAAGCCCCAGUAAACGGCGGCCGUAACUAUAACGGUCCUAAGGUAGCGAAAUUCCUUGUCGGGUAAGUUCCGACCCGCACGAAAGGCGUAACGAUCUGGGCACUGUCUCAACGAGAGACUCGGUGA
rnacentral:rRNA from 1 species